rnacentral:tRNA from 1 species
GCGUCCGUAGCUCAGUUGGUUAGAGUAUCACCGUGACAUGGUGAUGGUAAGUGGUUCGAAUCCACUCGGACGCA